rnacentral:tRNA from 1 species
GGGGCUGUAGCUCAGUGGUAGAGCACUCACCUUGCAUGCAUGAGACCCUGGGUUUGAUCCCCAGCACCA